UAAAAGUACUCACUGGUGUCGUGGAUUAAGAUAGUGGAUACAAUUUAUGGGCAGGUGCUGCACUGCGUUAAGAGUCUGUGCGAUUUGCACAGUGCGUAAAAUGUCGGUGGAGUGCGAGGAUAGAAGAACGAGACUCUGCAGUGCGUUAAGAUUGUCAGCACGCUGCAUGGAUGAAGGAGACGAAACACUACAGAAGUCUUCUCAUGAAUCUUGAGCCUGGGAUUUUCUGUUUUGGAGGUCAGCAUUUAUUUUGAAAGGACAUGAAUCACAUUUGGAGCACAGAAUUCGAAAAAAACUAUGACUCUUAUGGACUUCCACUGUCACCAUCUCACCCAUGUGAAUAUAUUCACAUAUUAGAUGAACAGAGAGCUUCUUGCAAGAAAAUUCUGACAGGAAGAUCAGUAUACACUCCUGUGACUCAAACGCUCUUUCUGAAGUGUUAAAUCAUAAAAUCUUUGAGCUUGGCAAUGAGAACGUAAUUAUUAUAAGCUAUAAUUAAAAUGCAUUGCUUUUUUAUACAUUGGUUAAUGUUAACUAAGCUAUUAUCUAUACAUAUAAAUGUAGUCAUCUGACUGCAACAGAUGUUUGUUUCAUCUGCAUUUAAUGAUUUAUUUAUUUCAGGUCAUGUG